rnacentral:rRNA from 1 species
UGGGGAAUCUUGCACAAUGGAGGAAACUCUGAUGCAGCGACGCCGCGUGAGCGAAGAAGCCUUUCGGGGUGUAAAGCUCUUACGCCAGGGACGAUAAUGACGGUACCUGGAGAAGCAGCUGCGGCUAACUACGUGCCAGCAGCCGCGGUAAUACGUAGGCAGCAAGCGUUGUUCGGAAUUACUGGGCGUAAAGGGUGCGUAGGCGGCGCUGUAAGUUUGGUGUGAAAUCUCCCGGCUUAACUGGGAGGGUGCACUGAAAACUGGAGCGCUCGAGUAUGGGAGAGGAAAGCGGAAUUCCUGGUGUAGCGGUGAAAUGCGUAGAGAUCAGGAGGAACACCUGCGGUGUAGACGGCUUUCUGGACCAUCACUGACGCUGAGGCACGAAAGCGUGGGUAGCAAACAGG